rnacentral:rRNA from 1 species
GUGUCNUNANAUGUUGGGUUAAUUCNCGCAAGGNGCGCAAACCCUUGAUNUUANUUGCCANCAUUUAGUNGGGCACUCUAAGGUGACUGCCGGUGACAAACCGGAGGAAGGUGGGGAUGACGUCAAAUCAUCAUGCCCCUUAUGACUUGGGNUACACACGUGCUACAAUGGAUGGUACAAAGGGCUGCAAAACCGCGAGGUUAAGCCAAUCCCAUAAAACCAUUCUCAGUUCGGAUUGUAGGCUGCAACUCGCNUACAUGAAGCCGGAAUCGCUAGUAAUCGCGGAUCANCAUGCCGCGGUGAAUACGUUCCCGGGUCUUGUACACACCGCCCGUCACACCACGAGAGUUUGUAACACCCGAAGUCGGUGAGGUAACCUUUUGGAGCCAGCCGCCGAAGGUGGGACAGAUGAUUGGGGUGAAGUCGAACCAAGGANG